CUGUGAUUUAGCAGCAUAUUGCCUUCAGUUAGGGAUCAUGCAAUGAGUUAACAAAGUAUGGCAGCUUCAGAUGCUGAUGUGAAUAGGAAGGGAAGAUAUGGAAAAAGAGGAACAGGUCUCCCUCUUGCUGCUCCCUGGUCUUUAGAAGAUUUUUCCUUGAGACGCUCCUGCCAACAUAAUUCCAUUCCAUUAGAUGUGUGUGUGCUCCGGAGUACAUCAGCUCUUCUUGCAUCACGGAGAGACAUCUGAAUCAGCUGUUCUUUCAUCAUGCUGUGAGCAUCCUGCCGUGAUGAGCGUGUUUCCUGUAUUUAAAGAAAGUUAUUCACUAUAGUCCUUAAACUAAGUCAGUCACUGAAGAUAAGGAAUUACGUUGCGUUUUAUGGAUAAUAAGCAGUAGAGCAUAGUCGUUUGCCCCAACCCAUGGCAGACAGACGAUACUCCAAGGGAUAACCACCUCUAAUUACAACAGAAGUGUGCAACCAAGUGAGAGAAAAGAAGAGAAAGGCCAAGAUGAAAAAGGUGGUGGAUGAAGAAGAAAGAAGAGGAGGUGGAGGCGGAGGGCAAGAAGAAGCAGAAGGAGCAGCAUCGCCUUGGUUCUCCCUAUGGCUAAAGGGGUCCAAGGAAGCUUAAGAGGGGCCUAAAAGUAAUAAUAACAGCAACAUCAGCAGCACUAGUUUUCACUACAGCUACCAUUUUCUUAGCAUUUCUUUUUAAAUCCCGCAAAAUCUCUCCUUUCCUUCCGUCUUGCCAUAUGCCCUUUGCCACCCCAGAUGGCAUGCUCCUGUGGCCUGUUCUGUAACAUCUGUGAUGAUCAAUGGAAUUCAACACAAAAACUAGACUUGUAGUUAUUUUUACAGUACACCCAUACAAGAUUUAAUUGUACAAUAACUGAUUUCUAUUAUUUUUAAUUGAAUUAGGCAACGUUGCAUGUAAAUUAGGAAAGAAGCGACCUGCCCUACAGUUUUACCAAGGGAACGAAGGAAAGGAAGCAGUGCUAAGGUUUAGACUGGGCAGAGAAAAGGGAACUCACACCCAGGGUCCCUGUGACCUCAAGAGAGCCCUUCUGCGCAGUGAGUUGGUUGGCCAAGGUGAUUGCGCCAUCACCCCAUGGUCCUGAGAUGCCAAGGUGAAGGCUUAAGUUAAAGUGUAGAGUGGGAACUCUAUCCUUGGACUGUGCAGCUGAGAAUGGGCCUGGCAUCUCAGGUGACAUGCAUCAAUGAAGCAAGUUUAGUUAUUCAUCCGUGAGCACAUGACUUAACUGAGCUUUCAUGAAUAAAAUGGAUCUUCACGAAGAAAAUGGAUUUAAUUGCCCAUCUUUCCAGGGUUGUCAUGAAUAUCAAGUUGAAUAAUAGAUACAGCGCUCCUAUCAAAUGGAGGGUACAAAAUAUUGUCCAUGUUCCCUUUCUCCUUCUUCCUUCCUAACUCCUAUGCCCAAACCUUGUCAAGGCUUUUUCCCCGACCCACAGAGCUUUCCACUUUUCUUUAGAAAAAAUACCAAUUCUCCCCUCUCAUUUAGAGCUCAGAUUUGUGAAGCUUUCUUUGUCCAAUACCAAGCACCACUGACCUAGAUUGAACUGUAUAGCUUUCCCAAGACUCAGUUUCCGCACACACAAAGUGAGAUGAUUAGACAGCAUAAUUUCCGUCUUUUUUAAUAUUAAAAUCCUUUAAUUCGACAUACUUUCAUUUCUCUCUCUUUCUCUCUUCCCUCUUCCCUCUUUUCCCCACUCUGCAUCACGCUGUGCUGGUGAAGAAUAUUCAAACCAUAAAUCAGAUUCAGGUGUUUACUUGCAUUGCUCACAAAUAGACAAUUUAAUUGUGCAAGAAUAGGUUCCCCUUUUUCUGAUUGAAUUAGUCAGUUCUGUCUCUUUCUGUUCCCUCCCUCUGGCUUUUCAUCUAUUUUUAGACAGACAGUCUGAAAAGUCUUAAUAUAUCAAUGACAUUUAUAACACAUGUUAAUAUCGAA
ensembl:lncRNA